GCUUCAUAUUGUUCAAAACAGAAAGAAAAGACACAAUCAUAAAAUAACAAUUUCGGUAAACAAUGCAUAGACAUUAUUAAUGAACACUUAAUUAACAUGGCAUAUUCAUUUGAUCUUUCCAAAGAGAUUAUGAAACCCAACGCAGUGAUCAUACUAUUUGCAAGCAAUUUCAUGAAACAUACAAUAGUAAAAGCAAAAUUAAUUAUUCUUAUCCACGAUACAAAAUAUUUCAGUUAUUCAGCUUCAGUUUCACAAACUAUAGCGUAGAAGGAAGAUAGUCUUAGCAACUUCAGACAGUGUUAUAAAUGUAAACGGUGCAAAUGGUACCUAGGUACACGUGUGUUGGACACAGAAGGACUGGUGGACUUCCUUUCUUGGUGACGUAUGGGCCGGGUGGGGGCCCCAACCCUUAGGUCCCCAUUCGGUCGGGUACUAACAUUGCUUUGCAGGUGUCGACUACGACAGUUCAUCGUUCACGGUGUGGUUAUUGAUUGUGCUAGCUUAGUGUAGAUCAGGAUUUGAAAAGGUGCACUGGAGAUAACUGAGGGAAAUAAGACUUUUUCUUAUUUUCUAAUGUUUCUUCAGAUGAACCAGUCUUGUAUACCACCAGUGACUAGGAUUUAAAUAUAGUAAUUAAUUAAUGCACACGAUACACACAAAUAAGUUGUCAAAAAAGCAGCAGCGACAGCAAGUGAUGAAAGCAAAGCGAAAAAAUAUUGUGCGAAGCGAGUAAAAAUGAGCGAAAACCGCAAAUGCAUCCGAUGUCUUGUAUAAAUGUAUUUCGAUAAAGACACAGAUUACCCAUACAGCUUACCUGUAUAAAUGUAUUUCGAUAAAGACACAGAUUAUCCAUACAGCUCACCUGAGCUGGUCUGAUCAACCUCGUUCCCAGGGCUUUUCCCUGACAAAAAGGGAAAAGCCCUGAGAACGAGGUUGCUGGUCUAAUGUCUGAGGGUUUUUCUCCGGGUUCUCCGGUUUCCCUCAAUUGUGAUAAACAUGAAUUUCUCAUGUUUUGAUAUUUCGAAUUAUACACCCUUAAUUUAUACGUGAU